AUGGCCAAAAAGAAGAAGGCGGCCCGGAACCGGGGCAGGAAUGGUGCGGGAAUGGAGUCGGAGGCGGAGGGUUCAGCUGGGCGCGCCCCCCACUUCCACGGACACGGCGCCCCCUUUGACGUCCGCCGCGGCCAAGAAAACGGAGCCCACCCUGGGGGCGCCCGCGCCGGCCAAGAAGCUAUCCCGCCCCAUGGCACAGCACAGAAGAUUGUUGAGCCCCUACGCCGUGCAGCGGCUUUCCUGGGGAGGAAUGGCAGCGCCGGCGACGAUACGUCGGACGCCUCCAGCAGCGCCGGCAACGGCGGCGUGGAGGCUCUGGUGGGCGAGCGCUCGCGGGAUCAGGUUGACAAGGAUGAGGAUCCUUACCAGAAUGAGAGGAGGUAUUAA
rnacentral:rRNA from 1 species